rnacentral:rRNA from 1 species
UACGUAGGGUGCGAGCGUUGUCCGGAAUUACUGGGCGUAAAGAGCUCGUAGGCGGUCUGUCGCGUCUGCUGUGAAAACUCAGGGCUUAACCCUGAGCUUGCAGUGGGUACGGGCAGACUAGAGUGCGGUAGGGAGACUGGAAUCCUGGUGUAGCGGUGAAAUGCGCAGAUAUCAGGAGGAACACCGGUGGCGAAGGCGGGUCUCUGGGCCGUAACUGACGCUGGAGGAGCGAAAUGCGU